rnacentral:rRNA from 1 species
UUUUAUUUGAGAGUUUGAUCCUGGCUCAGGAUGAACGCUGGCGGCGUGCCUAACACAUGCAAGUUGAGCGAUUUACUUCGGUAAAGAGCGGCGGACGGGUGAGUAACGCGUGGGUAACCUACCCUGUACACACGGAUAACAUCCCGAAAGGUAUGCUAAUACGGGAUAAUAUAUUUGAGAGGCAUCUCUUAAAUAUCAAAGGUGAGCCAGUACAGGAUGGACCCGCGUCUGAUUAGCUAGUUGGUAAGGUAACGGCUUACCAAGGCGACGAUCAGUAGCCGACCUGAGAGGGUGAUCGGCCACAUUGGAACUGAGACACGGUCCAAACUCCUACGGGAGGCAGCAGUGGGGAAUAUU